CAAAACGUAGCUUAACUUUUAAAGCCCCCCGCUUACACCGGGGAAAUAUCUGUUAAACUCAGAUCGUCUUGA
rnacentral:tRNA from 1 species